rnacentral:rRNA from 4 species
AAAAUUAGAGUGUUCAAAGCGGGCAGAUAUUUUUCCUGCCACCGAAUACAUUAGCAUGGGAUAAUGGAAUAGGACCCUGACCUCCUAUUUUCAGUUGGUUUUGUUUACAGCGAGGUUAUAUCAGGGUAAUGAUUAAUAGGGAUAGUUGGGGGCAUUAAUAUUUAAUUGUCAGAGGUGAAAUUCUUGGAUUUAUGAAAGAUUAACUUCUGCGAAAGCGUUUGCCAAGGAUGUUUUCAUUAAUCAAGAACGAAAGUUAGGGGAUCGAAGACGAUCAGAUACCGUCGUAGUCUUAACCAUAAACGAUGCCGACCAGCGAUUAGGAGACGUUGAAUACAAAACACCGCUGUUAAUCCUUUCGGGGGUUAAUAGUUGGUGAA